CUGCUUCCGAACUGCAAACAGAUGCUUGUCUGGUGGGAGGCUCUGGAGCCUUGACCGACUGUGUGUUCUUUGAAGUGUAUCUGAGGGCAGGAAGCAGGAAAACGAUGUUCAGUAACUUGAAGUGAAGGUGUGACAGAGCUUGUGAGUAUGUGAUACUGCUUUGUGCACAGAGUAACCUGCAGAUACACACCUGCUAAACAUCUGGUGCUGUUAAGUGGUGACAUACUGACCCUGUUGUGCGGCUUGUGUCUCGUGAGUAGUAAUAAGAUGGCACUACUUCAAGAUGGCGGCCAGCCAAACCGGUUUGACAACCUGUUUGACCGGUUUCGUGCGUGUGCGCAUGCGCGUUCAGGUGUGCUACCGGUUAUGCGUGUUUAUGUGUGGAAACACCCCCUCUGGGCGGUAACAACUCCUCCUAGUGGGAUGGCCUAGGUUGUAUAGGUAUAAAAGUGAUCCUUUCACAUUCUUAGAGCAUCACCACCACCACCACGACCUAAGGAGCACCGACACAUCGCGCUAAGGAUCCCCCGACGCAUCGACCUAAGGAGCUCAGGAUGACAUCGGCAUCAACCAUGACACCCAGCCAGGACAUCGCCCAUGCCACAGCCGCUCUAGACACAAACACAGACAAUGGAUACUUGAACAGCACACAUUAAAACAGGUGUCUCCCAGCCCAGUAAUAAUCCGACAACUAAACAAUGAACUGCCAUUGACAUGUCGAAGAGGUUAACACGUGAGGAGCGGAUUGAAAUUGUGUUGAUAUCUGGUGAACGCAGUAACCGGGUCAUUGCAACAGAUUUCAAUGCAAGACACCCUACGAGACCACCCAUCUCCCAUGCUACAGUUAGCAAACUGCUUGCUAAGUUUCGUGAAACUGGUUCAGUGUUGGAUUUGCCAAAAUGUGGACGCAAGAAAACUGUCACUGAUGAAGAAACAUCAGUGGCUGUCCUAGCUUCAUUCAGCAAGAGCCCACAGCGUAGCACUCACCGCAUGUCACUGGAGAGUGGCAUUAGUCGAACAUCCCUUCGGCGGAUAUUAGCUACUCACAAAUGGCACCCUUACAAACUCCAGCUACUGCAGCAUCUCAACGAGGAUGACCCAGAUCGCCGCACAGAAUUUGCAGAAUGGGCAAAACAUAAAAUUGGAACAGGACCCUCAGUUCACGCAGAAGAUUUUGUUCAGUGAUGAGGCAAACUUUUAUGUGAAUGGUGAAGUUAACAAACAAAACCACCGCUAUUGGUCUGACACUAGCCCACAUUGGAUGGAUCCCUCCAAGACUGUUGGAACAACAAAAGUGAUGGUUUGGUGUGGUAUAUGGGGUACAACGAUAGUCGGUCCAUUCUUCAUCAAUGGAAACCUCAAGGCCACUGGAUAUUUGAAAUUGCUACAUGAUGAUGUGUUUCCCUCUUUAUGCACUGAAGCUGGCACGUUCCCUGAGUUUUUCCAGCAAGAUGGUGCACCACCACAUUAUGGGUGCCAGGUCCGAGCAUUCCUAGAUGAACAGUUUCCUGGAAAGUUGAAUGGCCCCCAAGGUCUCCCGAUCUGACCCCCUUAGACUUUUAUCUUUGGGGUCAUCUGAAGGCAGUUGUCUAUGGUGUGAAGAUACGAGAUGUGCAGCACCUGAAACUACGGAAACUGGAUGCUGGAUUGCUAUCAGUGUGUGAAGAGUGGGAGAAGAGGGUUGCAUUGACAAUCCAACACAAUGGGCAGCACAUUGAACACAUUUUAUAAGUGGUCAGAAACUUGUAAAUAACUCAUGAAAGAAUAAAGUUACAUUGAAAC